AUACGGAGGAUGCGAGCGUUAUCCGGAUUUAUUGGGUUUAAAGGGAGCGUAGGCGGGAGCUUAAGUCAGCGGUUAAAUGGUGCGGCGCAACCGUGCCCUGCCGUUGAAACUGGGUUUCUUGAGAGUGCAAGAGGCGGAUGGAAUUUAUGGUGUAGCGGGGAAAUGCUUAGAUAUCAUGAAGAACUCCGAUUGCGAAGGCAGUCCGCUGGGGCACGUCUGACGCUGAUGCUCGAAGGUGCGGGAAUCAAACAGGAUUAGAUACCCUGGUAGUCCGCACGGUAAACGAUGAUUACCCGCUGUCGGCGGCAGACAGUCGGCGGCCAAGCGAAAGCGAUAAGUAAUCCACCUGGGGAGUACGCCGGCAACGGUGAAACUCAAAUGAAUUGACGGGG
rnacentral:rRNA from 1 species